GUUCUAUGCCGGGGUAGCAGUUCUCGAUAAUGACAUCUGUAAUUAUUCUAUGUUCUAUGCCGGGGUAGGAAUUCUCGACAUCUGUAAUUAUUCUAUGUUCUGUGCCGGGGUAGGAGUUCUCGACAUCUGUAAUUAUUCUAUGUUCUAUGCCGGGGUAGGUGUUCUCGAUAAUGACAUCUGUAAUUAUUCUAUGUUCUAUGCCGGGGUAGGUGUUCUCGAUAAUGACAUCUGUAAUUAUUCUAUGUUCUGUGCCGGGGUAGGAGUUCUCGACAUCUGUAAUGAUUCUAUGUUCUGUGCCGGGGUAGGAGUUCUCGACAUCUGUAAUGAUUCUAUGUUCUGUGCCGGGGUAGGAGUUCUCGACAUCUGUAAUGAUUCUAUGUUCUGUGCCGGGGUAGGAGUUCUCUUUACCAUUCAGUAGAGCUAUAAUGGACUUUCCAGUGAAAUUAUUUAUCUUUUUCUUCUUCUCUUUUACGUUUCUAAACAAAACUACAGCUACACACUUCUGGCUCUCGAGAGAAAUAAUACAACACAGCAUGUAGGUUAAAAGGUAGAUUUAAAUGUCUUUAUUCUUCAGUCUUGUUCAUUCGGGAUCAUUCAUAAAAGGUGGCGUUUGACAUUUACCACAAUCAAGGUCAUUGUUCCACAAUGCGAUAAAUGUUUAAACCGCUAAAUUACACCCAGGAAAGGAUAACGCUAGUACUUCAUGCUGAUUUAAUGCUAGCGUGUCAUAUCAUUUUAAUUACCUGUGCAGAGGAGAGCAGACGGGAUGAGGGGGGAUGGAGAAGAGCGGGAUGGGGGGGACCCACCUCAAGGACUAUGAGGACCCCAUUUUAAAAAAAGAUAUAAACGCUCUCUCUAUCACAAAUUAAAUCACUCACACAGGUAUACGGCCUGAAUUAAAAUGGCUGUUUUUCAUAUCCACUGCAGUAUGAAUUGUGUUCAAUAUCUUCAAACAAUUGUAACCUUACAGGUUGAACUCAAACAAUACCCACACUAAAUGCAGUCAUUUAGAUUUUAGCAUGUCUAUAAUUAAACAGUAAAACAGUAUAAUUAUUAAAAAGGCAGUAUUUGUAUUAGUAUUUGUAUUUAUUGUGGAUCCCCGCAGCAGCUACUCUUCCUGGGGUCUGGCAAAUAUACAUUUUUUUAAACAUUAUAACACAUUCAUAACAGAUUUCAGAACAUAUUAAGUGUGUUCCCUCAGGCCUCUACUCUACUACCAAGUAGCUACAAGACAAAAUCCAUGUGUACCUGUGCGUAUAGUAUCACAAAUAAAAUAAAUAUAUGUAAUGCAUAUUUUAUCAAGUGUUUGUAUUCAUAUGUCUGUGCCAAUGUUUGUGUUGCUUCACAGUCCCCGCUGUUCCAUAAGGUGUAUUUUUAUCUGUUUUUUUAAAUCUUGAUUCUACUGCUUGCAUCACUUUCUUGAUGUGGAAUAGAGCUCCAUGUAGUCAUGGCUCUAUGUAGUACUGUGUGCCUCCCAUAAUCUGUUCUGGACUUGGGGACUGUGAAGAGACCUCUGGUGGCAUGUCUUGUGGGGGUAUAGAUGGGUGUCUGAGCUGUGUGCUUCUCACAAAUACAAGUAGUGAUGAAGUCAAUCUCUCCUCCACUUUGAGCCAGGAGAGAUUGACAUGGAUAUUAUUACAGUAUUUUACAAUCGCUAGGACCCAUUUCUCAAUACUUAGGUCACUUUUUCAUAACUCUUCACACAGUGAAAACAAUAGCAGUCUAUGUGGACUAAACUGUGGAUAAUUUUUCAUUGCUUUGGAAACAAAAUGCAUUCAAUGACUACAUCUUUCAAACGUCAUGAAUUAUUUUCUCUCACUCAGACACAACCAUCACCAAAACUCUAUGUACCUACAGGCCAAUCUGCACAUGUUUACAUACUAUUUUCAAAACUGUUAAACUUAAUAAGUUCAAAACCUAACGUAACACAACAUUGCUACAUUUCUACAGUAAUACAGUAUUGAAAUGUAUUCCAAAUCUAAAAAAUGAAAUACAAUCAAAACAAUUAGACCAACCACAGCUGAUUCCCAUUGUAGCUGAACACCUACACAGGUGUUAGUCUUUCAAUUACAUUACCAUUUAUUCAAAAGGGGACAUCUUAGGAAUAAUGCUGUACUGUAAUGUAAACAUGGACACAACCCGAGAUGGAGAAGUGGCUGACAGAGGAAGAAGAGUGGCUGGGAGAGGGAGAGGAGUAGGUGUGUGUGGUAGAAGAAGACAGAGAGGAAGAUCAAGAGCUGUAGUCUCAGAUGAGAUUAGGGCUACUAUAAUUGAUCAUGUAAUAAAUCAUGGUCUAUCAAUGAGAGAGGCUGGUCUGAGAGUGUAGUCAAAUCUGCAACGCUCAACAGUGGCAUCUAUUGUGAGAAAUUUCCGGCAAAACAACAGGUAAGAUGUGCAUUCUACAAGGGCUUCUGACUGAACUGCACAUUACAGAAGUAAAUUGAGCAAAGCCUCCAAACCCACUUGUGUGUAAUUGCUUUUUGUAUUUCUGCUUAGGACCCAACGGUUACCUCCCACAGGUGGGGGAGGUAGGAUUCUCACUGUUGUGCAAGAAACUACAAUCGUUGAUAUUGUUAUCCGAAACAAUGGCAUAAAACCUAUUGAAGCAUAUUGCAUCAUGUCUGAUUCAUUCCUGUAACAUAUACUGCAGUGAAUUGUAAACAGUAGAGAGGUGUCAUUCUUGUUUAGUAAAGACAUUUGACAGAAGAAAACAUUGUGUAAUGGUACCUGUUGUUAGUGGUUUUUAGGUCGUUGUUUUAUGAGUGACAACGUCGGCUUGUUGGGUGACACCCUUUGCUAGUGUUAUGGAAGAACGAGUUGAUUUGAGACAUGUAUGAAGUGUUUUGGUAGUUUUAGUGCAUUUUGGGAUGUGAAAUGAACUGUUGUGCCCAAGCUGAAAGUUAGUUAGUAGAACUGUGUGAAGAGUUUUGAAAAAGUGACCUAAGUAUUGAGAAAUGGUCCUAGCGAUUGUAAAAAAAAAAAAUAAAUGUAAACUGGAAAAAUGUAACCACUGUUAAAUUCAUGCGCAGAGCUGUGGAUGCAAGGACUGACCAUCUGUGACAAUUAUAGGUGUGUUUGUUUACAGUUACAUCGUUUACAAACAAUCGACUAAAAACAACCUUAUAUUUCAGUUUCUGGUGGGGUACAGAAAUUGAACUAAGCUCAUGAGGAACUUCUAAAGUUAUAUUCUUCAAGAAACAAUGGGUAUACAUCAUGUAUGGAGUCAGAAAAAUGAUGUGCCAGUCAUGUAUUACCCCUUUAAGUAUAGCUGCUGUCACAUUUGCAGACAGUGAAUCUAAUAAACAAUGCCAACCUUUUUAGACAGGUUGAAGUACUGCGUGUGAGUGACCACACUGAUAAUUAGCCGUUUGCUAAAAAAGCAAAGCCACUUAGUCAGAGUGUGGGGGGAGUAAGAAUAGGAUGCAGAGAGGAUGAAUAUGAUGGCGAGAGGUAGAAGAGGAUGGACAGGGGAGGAAGAGGAUGGAGAGAGGAAGAAGAGGAAGAAAAGGAUGGACAGGGGAAGAGAGGAAGACGAGGAUGGAGAGAGGAUGAAGAGUAUGAGAGAGGAAUAAGAAGAUGGAGAGGGAAUUUAAGGGAGGUGGGGAUGGAGAGAUGACGGGAGAGGGGGUGGAGAGAUGGAGAGAGGGACUGUGGUGAUGGAGAGAGAUGGAGAGAAGGAGACUUUGGGGAGGGGGAGAGGGGAUGGAGAGAGAUGGAGAGAGGGGGACUGUGGGGAGGGAGAGAGGGGAUGGAGAGAGGUGGGGAGA
rnacentral:lncRNA from 1 species